AUAAACUGAUCGCCAAAUGGCUCCUUAAGGCAGUGUUUCUUUUUGUUUGUGGCUAGGAACCUUUUAACUGCAAUUAUCUUAUAAACAUCCAACGGUUUAUACAUCAAUACAAUUGUUUAAAUAUGUAACAGAAUGCCAUAUAUUCUGUAUUCAUAUUUAAUACUCAUAAUGUCUAUUGUAUCACAUCUGCAUUGUCUUAUAUACACAGGCUCCCCGUGACCCGAGGUAGUUCGGAUAAAGCGGUAGAAAAUGAGUGAGUGAGACAUCCACGAGCUGCUUCCAUCAUCUUUGGCCCAGGCUUGAGCAGUAGUGUCACUGAGAGAUGCUACACCACUACCAGCCUCGUCUGAAGACACGGACGCCAUCUUCACCACGGUCAGAUCGCCCGGAUUAGUCAUGUAUGGAGGGCAGGAGUAGCUGGAGGCUGAGCUGUAGCUGGCUGCUGGGUAAUGGACAUCUUCCAGCGUUUGCAGAGUGUAAGGCUGGGAGCUUGAGGGGACAGAUCCACUGCUGCGGCUCGUCGAAAGCCGAUAUGGAGAGGAACUGCCCGAAUCAGCACCCAGAGACGGAGAAUCUGCCACCGGGGCUGUGCCUUCAGGGCAAAGAACCUCCGGCUGACUGACGUGAUCUUCUGAAGGCUGCUCCCAUGGAUCUCUCUGUGGAAGAUUAAGGGGGAAAAACAUAUCACAAAGGAAGCAUGAGGUUAUGCUUGGGAAAGAACAUAUGAGAAUGUGUUACACAAUAUUUCUCUUGGACUAUAAGACGAUUAUGUUUCUUUACUUUUAACCCCUUAAACUUCCACCAUAAGUUGAAUCCACUUUUGUAACUACAGACCUCUUACAUUUUAUGAUGGAAAAACUAAAUAAGAAGCUGAGAUUGAGACUAAAGGCCAAAAAACAUAAUAAAUCAGUGAUUCUCCUGCUUA